rnacentral:misc_RNA from 1 species
GUGGAAGCCAGUUUCAUAUUUGAAAUUUAUUUGUGAAGCCAACAUAACAACCUAAUUUGGCCAACAAUGCUAAUUCUAAUUUUUGCAGUGUAAUAUGAUGUUUAGAAAUAUUGUAGCAGCAUAAUGAUGUUUAGAAAUAUUGGAACUAGGUUUUGUUUACUGUUUUAAUAUGUGUGUGUGCAUAUUUUAAUCUUGGUUCUAAAUACUUGGAAAGGGUUUGAGGGUUAUUUUUGUGGUAAGAUUGAAGUUAGAUCUUGAGUUUUAAUUUUAUUUGGUCUUACAAACCUAAUAUAGAAAGAAUCAGGCAAAUCGAUAGAUUCAUUUUGGUUCGCUGAUUUUGGCCUCAAUUCAAGCAUAUUUGCAAUUCAGUCAGCCUUUAAUCGAAUUGCUAGGGUGUGGAAUCAACUCGAAUCAUGCAUUUCUAAAAACUAUGAUAACUGCAUUUUUGUCCCACGUUGGUUUAGCCACUGCUUCUACCUCAAGAUAGAUAAGAGCAUUUAUUUUGGAUUAUAACUUAUUGAUUUGAAUGUUUUCUGAU